rnacentral:lncRNA from 1 species
GCUAAUUCCUCGGUAGUGGAAGCUGAAAGUCCCAGCCUGCUUGGCUGGGAGCAGACGCCGUGAGAUGUCCCCCAGAGAGGAAUGUGAGCUGAGCGGUGCUGUGUCCCUGUGGGCAGCCAUGGCCUCGGCCACCCAAUGUCUCCUGCCUGCACCCUGGCUGCAUCCUGCUCCUUAUCCACAUCCCAGCUGUCGAUGUGAAACAAAGCUGAGAGGUGGGGACAUGAUGGGGGUCAUGCACCGUCCUUUCUAUGCUGCUGCCAUGGACACCGGCUGCAAGGUGUAGCCU